UGAAUACGAGACGCUACGGCGUCGAAGCAGUCUAUGUCGUACUUCCAAGAAAAGCUCGCAAUGUCAUAAACAAAUAAUGCCUGUACCAUAACCGACACAGGUGGGUAGGUAGAGUAUACUAAGGGGCGCGAGAUAACUCUCUCUAAGGAACUCGGCAAAAUGACUCCGUAACUUCGGGAGAAGGAGUGCCUUAUUUAUAAGGUUGCAAUAACAAGAUCCAAGCAACUGUUUAUCAAAAACACAGGUCUCCGCUAAGUCGUAAGACGAUGUAUGGGGGCUGACGCCUGCCCAGUGCCAGAAGGUUAAAGAAGUUGGUUAGCAUUCGCGAAGCUGAUAACUGAAGCCCUGGUGAACGGCGGCCGUAACUAUAACGGUCCUAUGUAGCGAAAUUCCUUGUCGGGUAAGUUCCGACCCGCACGAAAGGCGUAAUGAUUUGGAUACUGUCUCGGAGAGGGGCUCGGUGAAAUAGACUUGUCUGUGAAGAUGCGGACUACCUGCACCUGGACAGAAAGACCCUAUGAAGCUUUUCUGUAACUUGAAAUUGAAAUUGGACUUUAUUUGCGCAGCAUAGGUGGGAGGCGUUGAGAGUAUUCUUGCGGGAAUAUUGGAGCCAUCAGUGAGAUACCACUCUUGUAAUGUUAGAUUUCUAACUUUGGAUCAUUAUCUGGUCAAAGAACAGUUUCAGGCGGGCAGUUUGACUGGGGCGGUCGCCUCCCAAAUGGUAACGGAGGCGUACAAAGGUUUCCUCUGAACGGGUAGAAAUCGUAUCUAGAGUGUAAAGGCAUAAGGAAGCUUGACUGUGAGACCUACAAGUCGAGCAGGGACGAGAGUCGGUCUUAGUGAUCUGACGGUGCUGAGUGGAAAGGCCGUCACUCAACGGAUAAAAGUUACUCUAAGGAUAACAGGCUGAUCUCCCCCAAGAGUUCACAUCGACGGGGAGGUUUGGCACCUCGAUGUCGGCUCAUCGCAUCCUGGGGCGGUAGUACGUCCCAAGGGUUGGGCUGUUCGCCCAUGAAAGCGGUACGCGAGCUGGGUUCAGAACGUCGUGAGACAGUUCGGUCCAUAUCCGGUGUAGGCGUUAGAAUAUUGAGAGGAGCCUUCUUUAGUACGAGAGGACCGAGAAGGACAUACCUCUGGUGUACCAGUUAUCGUGCCAACGGUAAACGCUGGGUAGCUAUGUAUGGAGAGGAUAACCGCUGAAAGCAUCUAAGUGGGAAGCCCACCUCAAGAUAAG
rnacentral:rRNA from 1 species